GGUCAUCCACCAAAUCAUUUUUUGUUCAAAGUGCCAAAAACCCAUGAGUGUGAACUUGUGGCUGAAGGAAACAACAUGCUGCAGCCUUGGAGAAGAUGAGUAAAGACACAGACUUCUUUUAUAGUAGUGAUAUUCUCUUAAAAACCUUUAAACUGCUGGUGUCUCUGAAAGACAGCGAUUUGAGCGGAGUCACUAAAAUU